rnacentral:rRNA from 1 species
CCUACGGGUGGCAGCAGUGAGGAAUAUUGGUCAAUGGGCUUACGCCUGAACCAGCCAAGUCGCGUGAGGGAAGACUGCCCUAUGGGUUGUAAACCUCUUUUGCCAGGGAGCAACACCAGCUACGUUUAGCCGGACUGAGAGGACCUGUAGGAAACGCAUCGGCUACCUCCGGGCCAGCAGCCGCCGUAAUACGGAGGAUGCGAGCGUUAUCCGGAUUUAUUGGGUUUAAAGGGUGCGUAGGCGGAAUGCCAAGUCAGCGGUAAAAUCGCGGGGCUCAACCUCGCUCCGCCGUUGAAACUGGCGUUCUUGAGUGGGCGAGAAGUAUGCGGAAUGCGUGGUGUAGCGGUGAAAUGCAUAGAUAUCACGAAGAACUCCGAUUGCGAAGGCAGCAUACCGGCGCCCAACUGACGCUGAAGCACGAAAGCGUGGGUAUCGAACAGGAUUAGAUACCCGUGUAGUC